rnacentral:rRNA from 1 species
UACGGAGGGAGCUAGCGUUGUUCGGAAUUACUGGGCGUAAAGCGCACGUAGGCGGCUUUUUAAGUCAGGGGUGAAAUCCCGGGGCUCAACCCCGGAACUGCCUUUGAAACUGGAGAGCUAGAAUCUUGGAGAGGCGAGUGGAAUUCCGAGUGUAGAGGUGAAAUUCGUAGAUAUUGGGAAGAACACCGGUGGCGAAGGCGGCUCACUGGCUCGUAACUGACGCUCAUGCACGACAGCGUGGGGAUCAAACAGG